CGCGUACCAAAGAGCUCGAUCAGCUAUUCUGGUUGAUGCCACUCGAUAGGAAGCAGAUUGCCCGAAGACUUCAAGCCCUGUUUCAGCUGAGAGCAUUGAUUCCCCUAGCACCUCUCUUCUAUCACAGCAUUAGAGGAGUGAGCCCGCCCUUCAUUCAUCAGGUCUCAAAGUAUAGAUUGUAUGAUAGGUAGGUGAUGGCUUGUAGCUUUUCCAC
rnacentral:misc_RNA from 1 species